rnacentral:tRNA from 1 species
CCGGGUGUAGCGCAGUCUGGAAGCGCACUCGCCUUGGGAGCGAGUGGUCGGCGGUUCAAAUCCGUCCGCCCGGACCA